AGGAGGGGGGCAGAUGGAUGCACUGACAGACAUGAAAUAGAGCAGGUAGAGCAAAAUGUGGACGGUAGAAUCUAAUGGUGGGUUCUGGGAGUUCACUGUAAAUUCUUUCAACUUUUCUUUAGGUUUGAAAUUUUUCAUCACAAAUGUUGGGGGAAGUCAUCCCAACUCCUCCCUGAAGCCCACAGGCCCUGCAUGACCUACCCCUGUCCCCCUCCCUGCCUUCCCCGCCUCACUCUCUCCCCCUCACUCAUUCCGCUCCAGCCACAGGGGCCUCUUGCUGUUCCCCCAACACUCUGAGCUCGGUUCUGCCUCAGGGCCUUUGCACCUGCUGCUUCUUUCUCUGAAAGUCCCUCCCUACCACCACUACUCUCUUCUGCAUAAACCCAGACCCUCCUCAUCUCUGGGUCUCCGCUCAGAUGGUAUCUCCUCAGGCUUUCAUUGGUCACCUCAUUUAAAAUCAUGGUACCCUGCUCAUUUUCAAGCAGCCCCAUCACACGGUCCUAUCUCAUUUAUGAAUCUGUGUACUUGUGUGUUGGACUGAGAGCUCCACGGGGACAGGAAUGGGUCUGCUUUUUUUUCCGCUGUGUCCCCAACACCUAGCCGCAUGCUGGCAUGAACAAGUCAGUCAGAGAACAGAGGGACAGCUGGGUGGGCAGAUGGAUGGAUGGACAGACAGAUGGGUGGAUGGACAGAUGGGUAGAUGGACAAGGUGGGCAGGCGGAUGGAUGAACAGAUGACUGGAUGGAUGGAUGGACAGAUGGAUGACUGGUCAGUGGGUUGGUUGGUGGAUGGACAGACAGGUAGAUCAGCAGAUAAGAAGGCGGAUGGAUGGAUGGAUGGAUGGAUGGAUGGAUGGGAUGGACGGACAUAAUGAUGAACAAACAUCCCAAGUGGGGACCGGUGUGGGGGUCUGGGCACUUGUCUUAAGAUCUCAGGAAAGGGCAGAGCUGCUUGGGCUCCUCAAGAUGGCUGCUGGAAAGCCUUCUCAGGGGAAGGAAAGCUCACCUGAUUACCGCUCCAGGGACCUGGCGAGCACGUCAUCACUAGGCACGCUUGCCCGGCCGCAGCCCAGCCUCAUAGCAAGCAAGGCUGCCGACGUUCACACCUGGAAGGAUGCUCAGGAAGCGAACUGCAGAUUUCCUCAACUGGUCAUCUUUGGGCUGCAUUGGAGGCACUUUCCCAUAUGACAGGAGACCUUCCUGGACAUUUGAGAACUCGACUUUAUGACCCCAGUCAGCCAGUCCCCUGACUUCUGGCCACCUCUUUUGCACCUGUGAAGUGCAAAGUAAUAACCCUUUUCAUGAGGAUGUGGUCCAGCCUCAGCGAAUGGUUUUGGCAGGAGAGGCUGUGGCUGCCACCCAACAACUCGUGGGCUGCCCUGGAGGACCGGGAUGGCCUGGUCUAUGCCCACCCCCGGGAUAUGCUGGCAGCCCUGCCCCUGGCGCUGGCCCUGGUGGUCAUGCGCUUCGUCUUCGAGAGGUGAGUGUCCGCCUCUCGGCGGUGCCCGUCCCCGCUGUCGUUCCCCUGUGCGCAGUGCUCACCCUGGCCAUCCGUCCUGUGUGGUUUUCGUCCUAAUGCAUCCUGGAUGGAGCCUGGCUUGGAGGCCGGGCCUUUCCCGGCUCCACCUUGCCCCUAGCCGCCACCGCCCACACUCUUCCAGCCUCUGAGGCUGGUUUGCUAUUACCGCGGCGGCCUGCCGCUUGGGUCUGGGCAUGCCUUGGGUGUCGUCAGCAAAUGGCGGGAGGCCCCGGAGGGCGUGU